rnacentral:rRNA from 1 species
UGGGGAAUUUUGGACAAUGGGCGAAAGCCUGAUCCAGCAAUGCCGCGUGUGUGAAGAAGGCCUUCGGGUUGUAAAGCACUUUUGUCCGGAAAGAAAUCCUUGGCUCUAAUACAGUCGGGGGAUGACGGUACCGGAAGAAUAAGCACCGGCUAACUACGUGCCAGCAGCCGCGGUAAUACGUAGGGUGCAAGCGUUAAUCGGAAUUACUGGGCGUAAAGCGUGCGCAGGCGGUUUGCUAAGACCGAUGUGAAAUCCCCGGGCUCAACCUGGGAACUGCAUUGGUGACUGGCAGGCUAGAGUAUGGCAGAGGGGGGUAGAAUUCCACGUGUAGCAGUGAAAUGCGUAGAGAUGUGGAGGAAUACCGAUGGCGAAGGCAGCCCCCUGGGCCAAUACUGACGCUCAUGCACGAAAGCGUGGGGAGCAAACAGGAUUAGAUACCCUGGUAGUCCACGCCCUAAACGAUGUCAACUAGUUGUUGGGGAUUCAUUCCUUAGUAACGUAGCUAACGCGUGAAGUUGACCGCCU